rnacentral:misc_RNA from 1 species
AAAAUAUUCACUUGAAAUUUAUGUAUUUACAGGACUGAAACGUAUAUUAACUAUGCUCUUGGAAAAAGAGCUAUUGCCUGAAUUUAGUGAUGAAGAUUCAAAAAAACUAAUUCGGCUACUUUUUGCGUCAACUGGGAAGGCAAUUUUGGAGAAGAUUUUUCCUGCUAGUGAUAAUAAAAAGAAAUAUCUCACCAAAUCACAAAAGGGGAGAUUCUUAAGUUCUUGUUGUUGAUACUCUCUGAGACUUACUAAAUGUUAUAUUCUAUCUUCAAACUUCAUAAUUUACUCCAGAUAAUGGAUUCCAAGAAGGUUCUGGUGAAACAAUAAGUUGGUGAUGAUUCUGCAACCUACUAGAUAGAUCUGUACUAUUUUAGUGGUGUGUUUGUGCUUCAAUUUUUCUUGAAAUUUCAUUCUUGUCUUAAGUCAGGUUAGUUUGUCAGAUACAUCCAAAUUAGUGAUU